AGGUGCGAUCAUACCAGCACUAAUGCACCGGAUCCCAUCAGAACUCCGCAGUUAAGCGUGCUUGGGCGAGAGUGAGAGUAGUACUAGGAUGGGUGACCUCCUGGGAAGUCCUGUGUUGCACCUC